rnacentral:rRNA from 1 species
UACGAAGGGGGCUAGCGUUGCUCGGAAUCACUGGGCGUAAAGGGUGCGUAGGCGGGUCUUAAGUCAGGGGUGAAAUCUUGGAGCUCAACUCCAGAACUGCCUUUGAUACUGAAGAUCUUGAGUUCGGGAGAGGUGAGUGGAACUGCGAGUGUAGAGGUGAAAUUCGUAGAUAUUCGCAAGAACACCAGUGGCGAAGGCGGCUCACUGGCCCGAUACUGACGCUGAGGCACGAAAGCGUGGGAGCAACAGG